AUGUCGCUACGUCAGCUACUGGGAUGGUCAGAUGGAGAGGUGAUGCGGCCGGAGUCAAAGCCGUGUUCCCGACUGAUGCGCCACACUGCUGGUAUCUUCUCAGUUGGUGGUGGCCUUGCUUUCUGGGUGCUUUGCCGCCUUCACUAUGGUCCAAGGAUAACGGUUCCAAGGAGUCUCAGGUGGGCAUCCUGUGGAGCGAUGGGCACGAGCGCGACGGCAGCCAUGCUUGUGCGGCUCUUCAGCCCGGAGUGUGAACCACAGAACAUAGCAGCUUUCGACAGACCUGAAUACAAGCCUGCAUAG
rnacentral:rRNA from 1 species